GAUGAACGCUGGCGGCGUGCCUAAUACAUGCAAGUCGAGCGAAUGGAUUAAGAGCUUGCUCUUAUGAAGUUAGCGGCGGACGGGUGAGUAACACGUGGGUAACCUGCCCAUAAGACUGGGAUACCUCUGGGAAACCGGGGCUAAUACCGGAUAACAUUUGUAACCGCAUGGUUCGAACUUGAAAGGCGGCUUCGGCUGUCACUUAUGGAUGGACCCGCGUCGCAUUAGCUAGUUGGUGAGGUAACGGCUCACCAAGGCAGCGAUGCGUAGCCGAGCUGAGAGGGUGAUCGGCCACACUGGGACUGAGACACGGCCCAGACUCCUACGGGAGGCAGCAGUAGGGAAUCUUCCGCAAUGGACGAAAGUCUGACGGAGCAACGCCGCGUGAGUGAUGAAGGCUUUCGGGUCGUAAAACUCUGUUGUUAGGGAAGAACAAGUGCUAGUUGAAUAAGCUGGCACCUUGACGGUACCUAACCAGAAAGCCACGGCUAACUACGUGCCAGCAGCCGCAGUAA
rnacentral:rRNA from 1 species